rnacentral:rRNA from 1 species
UGGGGAAUUUUGGACAAUGGGGGAAACCCUGAUCCAGCCAUCCCGCGUGUGCGAUGAAGGCCUUCGGGUUGUAAAGCACUUUUGGCAGGAAAGAAACGUCAUGGGUUAAUACCCCGUGAAACUGACGGUACCUGCAGAAUAAGCACCUGCUAACUACGUGCCAGCAGCCGCGGUAAUACGUAGGGUGCAAGCGUUAAUCGGAAUUACUGGGCGUAAAGCGUGCGCAGGCGGUUCGGAAAGAAAGAUGUGAAAUCCCAGAGCUCAACUUUGGAACUGCAUUUUUAACUACCGGGCUAGAGUGUGUCAGAGGGAGGUGGAAUUCCGCGUGUAGCAGUGAAAUGCGUAGAUAUGCGGAGGAACACCGAUGGCGAAGGCAGCCUCCUGGGAUAACACUGACGCUCAUGCACGAAAGCGUGGGGAGCAAACAGG